GGUCAAGUGAAGAAGCGCAUACGGUGGAUGCCUUGGCAGUCAGAGGCGAUGAAAGACGUGGUAGCCUGCGAAAAGCUUCGGGGAGUCGGCAAACAGACUUUGAUCCGGAGAUCUCUGAAUGGGGGAACCCACCUAGGAUAACCUAGGUAUCUUGUACUGAAUCCAUAGGUGCAAGAGGCGAACCAGGGGAACUGAAACAUCUAAGUACCCUGAGGAAAAGAAAUCAACCGAGAUUCCCUUAGUAGUGGCGAGCGAACGGGGAUUAGCCCUUAAGCUUCAUUGAUUUUAGCGGAACGCUCUGGAAAGUGCGGCCAUAGUGGGUGAUAGCCCCGUACGCGAAAGGAUCUUUGAAGUGAAAUCGAGUAGGACGGAGCACG
rnacentral:rRNA from 1 species